rnacentral:rRNA from 1 species
UACAGAGGGUGCAAGCGUUAAUCGGAAUUACUGGGCGUAAAGGGCACGUAGGCGGUUGCAUAAGUGAUGUGUGAAAUAUCCGGGCUUAACCUGGAGAGGUCAUGUCAAACUGUGCGACUAGAGUAUAGGAGAGGGGAGUGGAAUUUCCAGAGUAGCGGUGAAAUGCGUAGAUACUGGAAGGAACACCAGAGGCGAAGGCGGCUCCCUGGCCUAAUACUGACGCUGAGGUGCGAAAGCGUGGGUAGCGAACAGG